rnacentral:rRNA from 1 species
CGGGAAUCUUCGGAUUCUAGUGGCGGACGGGUGAGUAACGCGUAAGAAUCUAACUUCAGGACGGGGACAACAGUUGGAAACGACUGCUAAUACCCGAUGUGCCGAAAGGUGAAACCUAAUUGGCCUGAAGAAGAGCUUGCGUCUGAUUAGCUAGUUGGUGGGGUAAAGGCCUACCAAGGCGACGAUCAGUAGCUGGUCUGAGAGGAUGAGCAGCCACACUGGGACUGAGACACGGCCCAGACUCCUACGGGAGGCAGCAGUGGGGAAUUUUCCGCAAUGGGCGAAAGCCUGACGGAGCAACGCCGCGUGAGGGAGGAAGGUCUUUGGAUUGUAAACCUCUUUUCUCAAGGAAGAAGUUCUGACGGUACUUGAGGAAUCAGCCUCGGCUAACUCCGUGCCAGCAGCCGCGGUAAUACGGGGGAGGCAAGCGUUAUCCGGAAUUAUUGGGCGUAAAGCGUCCGCAGGUGGUCAGCCAAGUCUGCCGUCAAAUCAGGUUGCUUAACGACCUAAAGGCGGUGGAAACUGGCAGACUAGAGAGCAGUAGGGGUAGCAGGAAUUCCCAGUGUAGCGGUGAAAUGCGUAGAGAUUGGGAAGAACAUCGGUGGCGAAAGCGUGCUACUGGGCUGUAUCUGACACUCAGGGACGAAAGCUAGGGGAGCGAAAGGGAUUAGAUACCCCUGUAGUCCUAGCCGUAAACGAUGGAUACUAGGCGUGGCUUGUAUCGACCCGAGCCGUGCCGAAGCUAACGCGUUAAGUAUCCCGCCUGGGGAGUACGCACGCAAGUGUGAAACUCAAAGGAAUUGACGGGGGCCCGCACAAGCGGNNGANUAUGUGGUUUNNUUCGAUGCAACGCGAAGAANCNUUACCAAGACUUGACAUGUCGCGAACCC